rnacentral:lncRNA from 1 species
GGAUGGUGCCGGGAGAGGCGCUGCAGCCUGCCCCAGUGGAACUGGUUCAGGGAACCCUGAGAGGACAACCACUCCCUGAAAGGUUUCCAAGGGAGACGA